AUAUCAAUAAGCGGAGGAAAAGAAACCAACAGGGAUUGCCUCAGUAACGGCGAGUGAAGCGGCAACAGCUCAAAUUUGAAAUCUGGCCCCGGCCCGAGUUGUAAUUUGCAGAGGAUGCUUCCGGCAACGCGCCUUCCAAGUCCCCUGGAACGGGGCGCCACAGAGGGUGAGAGCCCCGUCCGGUCGGCCGCCGCGCCUGUGCGAAGCUCCUUCGACGAGUCGAGUAGUUUGGGAAUGCUGCUCUAAACGGGAGGUAGACCCCUUCUAAAGCUAAAUACCGGCCAGAGACCGAUAGCGCACAAGUAGAGUGAUCGAAAGAUGAAAAGCACUUUGAAAAGAGGGUUAAACAGUACGUGAAAUUGUUGAAAGGGAAGCGCUCGGGACCAGACGUGCGCCGGGCGUUCAGCGGGCGUUCUCGCCCGUGUACUCGCCCCGGCGCAGGCCAGCGUCGGCUCGGGAGGGGGGACAAGGGCGCUGGGAACGUGGCUCCUCCGGGAGUGUUACAGCCCAGCGCGUCAUGCCCCCGCCCGGGCCGAGGUUCGCGCUCCGCAAGGACGCUGGCGUAAUGGUCUCCAGCGGCCCGUCUUGAAACACGGACCAAGGAGUCGAGGUUUUGCGCGAGUGUCUGGGUGUCAAGCCCGCACGCGUAAUGAAAGUGAACGCAGGUGGGAGCUUCGGCGCACCACCGACCGAUCCUGAUGUUCUCGGAUGGAUUUGAGUAGGAGCGCAGGGCCUCGGACCCGAAAGAUGGUGAACUAUACUUGGAUAGGGUGAAGCCAGAGGAAACUCUGGUGGAGGCUCGCAGCGGUUCUGACGUGCAAAUCGAUCGUCAAAUCUGAGUAUGGGGGCGAAAGACUAAUCGAACCAUCUAGUAGCUGGUUACCGCCGAAGUUUCCCUCAGGAUAGCAGUGUUGAUCUCAGUUUUAUGAGGUAAAGCGAAUGAUUAGGGACUCGGGGGCGCUUUUUAGCCUUCAUCCAUUCUCAAACUUUAAAUAUGUAAGAAGCCCCUGUUGCUUAAUUGAACGGGGGCAUUCGAAUGCAGCAACACUA
rnacentral:rRNA from 2 species